rnacentral:rRNA from 1 species
GUAGAUCCCUCGUUAACCUUCCCCCCCGACUCUGCUUCCUCCUCACUUCCCCCAAAUCCCCCACCCGAACCCUCGGAAUCCCUCCCUCGCCGCCGCCGACCCCUCCGCCGAUCUCCCCGCCGCCGAGAUGUCUCGCCGCUACGACAGCCGCACCACGAUCUUCUCGCCGGAGGGCCGGCUGUACCAGGUGGAGUACGCGAUGGAGGCGAUCGGGAACGCCGGGUCGGCGCUCGGGAUCCUGGCGGCCGACGGCGUCGUCCUCGUCGGCGAGAAGAAGGUUACCUCCAAGCUGCUCCAGUCCUCCCGAUCCGCGGAGAAGAUGUACAAGAUCGACUCCCACCUCGCCUGCGCCGUCGCCGGGAUCAUGUCCGACGCCAACAUCCUCAUCAACACCGCCCGCCUCCACGCCCAGCGCUACGCGCUCUCCUACCAGGAGCCCAUCCCCGUCGAGCAGCUCGUCCAGUCCCUCUGCGACACCAAGCAGGGCUACACCCAGUUCGGGGGCCUCCGCCCCUUCGGCGUCUCCUUCCUCUUCGCGGGCUGGGACAAGAACCACGGCUUCCAGCUCUACAUGAGCGACCCCUCCGGCAACUACGGCGGCUGGAAGGCCGCCGCCGUCGGGGCCAACAGCCAGGCCGCCCAGUCCAUGCUCAAGCAGGACUACAAGGACGGCAUGACCCGCGAGGAGGCCGUCGCCCUUGCCCUCAAGGUCCUCAGCAAGACCAUGGAUUCCACUAGUUUGACUGCCGAUAAGCUGGAGCUGGCCGAGGUCUUCGUGCAGCCCGGCACUGGGGAGGUGCAGUACCAGGUGUGCUCUCCUGACGCCAUGGGGAAGCUGCUUGCCAAGGCUGGGCUCACGCAGCCCGCGCCUGAGGCCUGAUGUGCUGGUUUGCUGUGGCCUGUGAUGCCUACUACUCUUAGACUGCUUAAUCAGUUAUGCUUCUGUUGUUUUAAGCCAAACUAUUUGACAAUUAUGCAUUUUAAUUUUAUGUUGAACAUGCUUGGUAUUUUCUUUAUCUGAUGGAUUGUCUUGUGCUAGGCGAAAAUUGUGAUCCUUGUGUCCCAUGCUUGAUUGUUAUUGUGACCAGGGGAUAUGGAAGAAUGCGCUUAUAGAAAACUGCAGUGAAACCUAUGUGUUUGACCAUGUUCUCAUCAAGUUUGUUUAGUGAACAAUCCCAAUUGUAAGGAGGUUCUGGUGCUUGGGGCCUGUGUUUAUAAAGUUCAGCGCCUUCAAUAGAUUCAAUACCUAUGCACCAUCUAGUUUGCCCCAUGGAGAAGUUAGUAAUUAUGUAUGAUGAUUGCAUAAAACAUCAUAUAAUAUUGUAGGUUGGAAUCUUGGUGGUCAAAUGUUUUCUUGUUGCUCUAUGUCUAGGUUGUCAUAGACAACAACAAUGAUCAUGUUAGAGCAAGACAAUGGAAAUAGUAGAAGCAUUGUAUGCUACCAACUGUUUACAGCCUGUACUCUGUUCCUUGAAGAAUUAGCUACUUACAAUAAGACAUAAUCUUUGGGCGAUUUUGAUGACUUCUCCAUGAUGACAAUAUCUUGCCAAUUUUUCUGGUAGCCCCCCAUGGGCCCAUUGCACGUUUAUCCUGUAUGUACCUUGCCUUGGAUUUUCUGGAUUGCUCUUGUGUACUGGUGUACUGAUUAGUUAGUUGUGUUCUGUUGAACAACAUGGGAGCAUAACAUGCUGCUAUGCAGUCUGUCAGAUCUAGAUAAAUUUCAUACAAAUAUGGGUGCUGAAUUCUGAUCAGUUCCGCAUUAUUCAAGCAUUUUAGGGGAUUUGAUGCAAGCAAGUAACACUAGAUAUAGUCUGAUUUUGAAAAUCUGUAUGCACGUUAUAGCGCUUGUAUUCAUCUGGUCAAAACGGUAAUGAACUGUAUUUCACUUGUUAAGGAACUCAAUUCUGUGACCUGGGGCUUUUACAGUUAAAAUCGAUAUUAUUGCACUAGUGACUGAGUGCUUCUGCCAAGUUUUAGUUGAGUGCUUCAUAAAAUUCCUGCUCUUCUUGCCUGCUAUUCCUAGUUUUAACAAUAUAAUGCUUGCAACCCCGCUGUGCUCAUCAGACCUGUUAUCUGUCAAGUAUUAGUGCCCUAAUUGGACUGCUGCUGGAGUGCUUAGUUAUCAAACUGUUUCUUCUCCAGCCCUGCAUAGUGUUGAUUCCAAACAGUUUCUUUCUCCAGCCUGAGUUGUUUUCUAGGGUAUUGGCCGGGUCCAGUAGAGUUUCAUGUUUAUCUAUCUGUCCUCGUUCUCGUCAUGUUUUUAUUUCUG